rnacentral:piRNA from 1 species
CGAAAGCCAUUGGAGAACCAC